rnacentral:rRNA from 2 species
UCGUUGAUGAUCGGUGCUUGCACCGAGAUUCAACAUGGAACGAGUGGCGGACGGGUGAGUAACACGUGGGUAACCUGCCCUUAAGUGGGGGAUAACAUUUGGAAACAGAUGCUAAUACCGCAUAGAUCCAAGAACCGCAUGGUUCUUGGCUGAAAGAUGGCGUAAGCUAUCGCUUUUGGAUGGACCCGCGGCGUAUUAGCUAGUUGGUGAGGUAACGGCUCACCAAGGCGAUGAUACGUAGCCGAACUGAGAGGUUGAUCGGCCACAUUGGGACUGAGACACGGCCCAAACUCCUACGGGAGGCAGCAGUAGGGAAUCUUCCACAAUGGACGCAAGUCUGAUGGAGCAACGCCGCGUGAGUGAAGAAGGCUUUCGGGUCGUAAAACUCUGUUGUUGGAGAAGAAUGGUCGGCAGAGUAACUGUUGUCGGCGUGACGGUAUCCAACCAGAAAGCCACGGCUAACUACGUGCCAGCAGCCGCGGUAAUACGUAGGUGGCAAGCGUUAUCCGGAUUUAUUGGGCGUAAAGCGAGCGCAGGCGGU